rnacentral:rRNA from 1 species
ACGAAGGGGGCUAGCGUUGUUCGGAAUUACUGGGCGUAAAGCGCGCGUAGGCGGGUCGCUAAGUCAGGGGUGAAAUGCCGAGGCUUAACCUCGGAACUGCCUUUGAUACUGGCGACCUGGAGUUCGGGAGAGGUGAGUGGAAUUCCGAGUGUAGAGGUGAAAUUCGUAGAUAUUCGGAAGAACACCAGUGGCGAAGGCGACUCACUGGACACGUAUUGACGCUGAGGUGCGAAAGCGUGGGGAGCAAACAGGA